rnacentral:lncRNA from 1 species
AUGGCCGUGCAGCGUGCUCCCGAGGCUGCUCUGAGCCUGCUGAUGAUCCACAGCCGUGCAGCUGGGCUUGGAGGAUCAGAUGAGAGCCUCGGGGAGCAGCAAGGUUUCAGUGGCAGGAUGAAGUCAUUUUUCUGCCUGCCUCACCUCAGCCUUAAAUUAUCUCUGCCUUUAUGCAAAAGCUCUCGACCUCCAAACCUCCUGGCUCAAACAGGCCGUGCUGCUCAUAAGAGGUGAGCUGUGGCUGGCAUGCUCCUUCCACUACACCAAACCCCACUCUUUUGUCACCCCUGUGUGGGGUUGGGGACAGCACAGCUCCUUUUUGAUGGCUGAGGCCGUGAGGCCUGUCAGCUGGCAGUGGGAUUGCUUGGCAGCGACUCACACCAUCCCCGAGGGAUUGGCCGCACAGCUGAUGUCAGGCCCUCUUCAGCUUCACAUCCAAAAUGAGAUCUUUUAUAUUAUACAUCCCUCUCUGUGCUCCUUUUGUAGAUAUUUCUACCAUGCAGGUGUGGGGGCUUCAUCCUCAGCCUUUCCUGAAGGCCUGCGGCAGAGACGAUGAUGUGUGGUGGCACUUGGGGGAGGAACGGUGCCUUCAGAUGUCCCUGCCUCCUCAUCUCAUUCCUAAUUUCAUCAAGGCACUCAUUUUCUAAUAGGCUUCACGAGCAGUAAAUGGCUGAGCUGUUCUGGUUGCUCUUUUGGAGGAUGCUGUAAUUCCUCCUUGGUGGCUGCUUGCUACCACAGACCAGGAAUUUAGGUAUUUCUUAUCGAUAAGUAAUUCUGAGUUGCAUCUGAACUUGCAGCACUGAAUUGUACCUGAACUACACUGCGUGCCUUUGUAAACUCACAGCAACACUUCAAACACAGUGACUUAAUUCAGCUGAAUGAGAUUA